GCUGAUAGUUCAAUUGAUUAGAGUGUGGUGUUGAUAAUGCCAAGGUUGCAGAUUCGAUCCCCGCAUGAGACA